UACGUAGGUGGCGAGCGUUGUUCGGAAUUACUGGGCGUAAAGCGCGCGCAGGCGGUCUUCCAAGUCAGUGGUGAAAGCCCGGAGCUCAACUCCGGAACUGCCAUUGAAACUGUUGGACUUGAGUACGAGAGAGGUGAGUGGAAUUCCCAGUGUAGAGGUGAAAUUCGUAGAUAUUGGGAAGAACACCGGUGGCGAUGGCGGCUCACUGGCUCGUAACUGACGCUCAGGCGCGACAGCGUGGGGAUCAAACAGG
rnacentral:rRNA from 1 species